UACGAAGGGUGCUAGCGUUGUUCGGAUUUACUGGGCGUAAAGCGUGCGUAGGUGGCUUUACAAGUCAGGGGUGAAAUCCUGGGGCUCAACCCCAGAAUUGCCUUUGAAACUGUAAAGCUAGAGUAUCGGAGGGGAUAGCGGAAUUGCUAAGUGUAGAGGUGAAAUUCGUAGAUAUUAGCAGGAACACCGGUGGCGAAGGCGGCUAUCUGGACGAUUACUGACACUCUGGCACGAAAGCGCGGGGAUCAAACAGG
rnacentral:rRNA from 1 species